UGUGUAGGUGGCCUGUUAAGUUCCGUGUGAAAUCUCCCGGCUCAACCGGGAGGGUGCGCGGAAAACUGGCGGGCUAGAGUACGGGAUGGGAGAGUAGAAUUCCUGGUGUAGCGGUGAAAUGCGUAGAUAUCAGGAGGAAUACCGGUGGUGUAGACGGCUCUCUGGACCGUAACUGACACUGAGACACGAAAGCGUGGGUAGCAAACAGGAUUAGAUACCCUGGUAGUCCACGCCCUAAACGAUGCAUAUUUGGUGUAGGUCAUUCAGUUGAUCUGUGCCGGAGCUAACGCGUUAAAUAUGCCGCCUGGGGAGUACAGUCGCAAGGCUGAA
rnacentral:rRNA from 1 species